GCCGGGUUCAGGGCUUGUUUCAAUGUGUUUGGAUGAAGAGGAGUCUGAACCCUGCAGUGAUCUGAGCGGUCUGUGUGGCGUUCCUGCAUCACUUACUGGAUCGCCCAUCACUCCCAUCACUCCCACUGCUCCAGAAUGUGUGUCCAAUCCAUGAGUGUGUGACUAACACUACGCCGACUACUUUGUGUCACAUCUCGUCUUCAUGUUUGUUGCUGACUUCACGUGUCGUCGCUGCCUUCACCUCCAUCCUCCUCAUCAGUUAACGAAGCACCGUGAUCACAUCCACAAGCGUUCAUGUUCGUGCUCACGCAACUAAUCCUGAGCUCAAAUAACAGAAGACGUGAAGGGUUUAUUGGAAACUCGUACACAUAAAUGGUAUGGAUUCACUACAUGUUGGUUCACUCUGGCUCUGUUUCUUUCUCCUUGUGUUCCUGUGCUCCGUGUCUGCUGGAUUUUUUGUAGUUCUUCCUCGGAAACCAGUUCGGUGACUCUCAGCAGCUGCGUCUGGUGAGGAUCCUGCGCAGCACGGUGAUGGUGAGAGUCGGAGGUGGCUGGAUGGCGCUGGAUGAGUUCCUGGUCAAAAAUGAUCCGUGCAGAGGUGAGUGGGGUUCACACACACACACACACACACACACCCCUCCUUUCUCCUGCUCGGUCUCACCUUUUUAUACUCACACCAGAGCCCGACUGACCAUGUGUUCCUGUGGAAGUUUUUUCUUUGUACCUAAACCUUUUUAAAUGUAGUGUCUUUAUAUCUGGUUGAUUUACGACAUUUUACAGUUGAGUCCAUUUGCCCGUCUCCCUGCAGAGGAAGUUCGCUUAAUCAGCAUGGAUCCACCAGUUUGAAACAGGCUACAUUAUUAACUCGUUGUUCAUUUGUGGUGGUUUUAUACACAUGGAGGUAUAAAAAUGUUUUUCCUUGGCAGUCAUGCUGACCUUUCUGCUUCCAGCUUGCUACCAGAGGCCUUUUCUCUUAAGAAGAACAUAGUGUCCUCAAGUGGAUUGAUAUUAACUACUUACAUUAUGCCUCGUUUGUCUACAGAAAACCUCUUUUUAUACAGUACUCUAACCCACUAUACACAGUAUUAUAAUACAUGUGAUCGUGUUUAUCUAUGAAUCUAUACUUGUUAUCUUUUGUUCAAAUGCAAUUCGAUGAGCCGUCAGAAUGAGGCCUUUUGAUUGAAACGCGUCGGGCGCCAUGUUGGAUGGUGGAUAUCGGUCGGCCUCUCGCACAGACGCACACUCUCGCUCUACAAACACACCGCUGGUCACAUUCACAGCGGCGUGCUGGAGGGAAACACAACUCGCUAAGUGACGACGCGUGGAGCCGUCUGUCAGCCGGUGGCGCAACGAGACGCCGCCACUCGUCCCUCCGGGUCCCCCGUCAAGGGCCGUCCACAUCUGGUGUCUCUGUUUCUCCCUCCAUCUUUAUUGCUCACGUCUCCCUGAGUUCAUCCUCAAGGACUUCAUCCCUCCACACCCUCUGUCCCGAUUCUUUUUCUCCCCCCUCUGUCUUAAUUAUUCCGUUCACUUUUCAAAUAAAAUGGUAGUAUUGCAUGGUGCAUGGUCCUCAGUUCUCUCCCUCUUCCUCCCCCCUCUCUUUUCCUCCCUCCCUCCCUUUUUCUCUUUCCCCAGUGCAACAUCCGGGACUUAAGAUUCUCCGCUCCGAUUCCAGUAGCUCCAUCUCAUCUCGUAUAGGUUGGACCUUCUCAUCAAUCCCUUACGCUUCCCUCUCUCCGUAACAGCCUGCCUCCUCAUCUGCCCCCCUCGUCUCUUCCUGCCUCUCCUCUCUCCUCCUCCUCUCUCACUCAUCUCGUCUCCUUGAGAUUUGUUGAGUUUGACCUUGAUCUUGUGCCUUGCUGACUGUGAUCACCUGACUAAUGUUAUGUCUCCCCACUGUUCUGCUCUCCUGACCCCAAACCCCCAAACCCCCAGCUGUUGUUGCUCAUGCAAGCUCUGAUAUCCUGACUUGUCUUUUAAACCACUUUUCAGGGGUCGUUGGUUGGUUGGUUGUGUGUUUUAUGGUCUGUGCAUAAGAUAACAGCACAGUGGUGCCUGUUGGUGUGUGAGACACUUCAUUUGACUGAGCAUGCAGUUAUUUCCCGUUUUCUCUUGUGUCUCUCAGUGACUGUCACUCCUGGCUAUUUCUGCUGCCGAGGUAUCUACAUUUCUCUCUCUGCUGCUCUGUCACGCUGCGUCCAGCUGUCAGUCUCCAUCUUUAACCACUGCUCUGCUCUCCGUGUCCAUAUGGAUGUGUGUGUGUGUGUGUGCGCAGUUUCUAACUGGUCUAAGGUCUGUGUGUGUGUGUGUGUUUAGGCAUUGAUGUCAGUCAUGCUUUCUUCACUCACGAUCACGCAGGGUUUGGCCAACCCCCUGGUCUUUAUUGUAUUAUACUUUUAAUUAGCUUUUCUUUUAAAUGUUAUGACUGCAUGAUGAGGAAUGUCUCAGCAAAUAGAUAUAAACGUAAAACUGUUGUCUAGUCGUGUUUUCAUGUUAAAAUGAACAUCACACGGGGGGCGGUGGGAGUAAGACCUGGGGGGCGUGGCCAGCCCGCGUUCCCAACAGCGCCGGCUUCCAACGUGGCUCCUUUAAAUGCGCCGGCUGGUUGGUGGGAGACGCAAUUACAGGGUGCACCUGGCUUGGAUGGCGUUCAGGGACGUAAUUGCAGGGUGCACCCGUCUAAUUGAGCGGUCUUGCCGUUGGGUUGCCGGGGGACGAGGCCGCGAGCUGCACUGCUGCUACGGCCAACUGCAGCCUUCUUCUCCACCUUCCUCUGCCUAUUUUCACUUAUUAGUUUUUCUUCCAUCCUUCCUCGUGAUUUCCUGUCCUGUCAUAUUUUUGUGUGUUCCAUUUCCCACUGCUGUCUCUGUCUGUCUCUCUGUCUCUGUCUCUGUCUCUCUGUGUCUCUGGCUGGCUUCUCCAGGCUUGUUGUCGUCUGCUGGGGCUGCUGCACUACUUUCUGUACAUGAAUGCUGUCGCGGCUCGUUUUGAAGAGGUUUUGACUCCCGCUUAGCUUAAACCGGGCCUGAGACCUGUCCAGACCCGCUGUGGACACACGGCUGAGAUGCAGCGAGACGCCCAAACGAGUGGAGACCGGAGACCCUGCAGAGGAAGGACAGAAGAGAGGCUGUGCUUUUUGCUCGCACCGACCUCAGAUCUUUCUUCAAAUACACAAUGAAAGUGUCUCCGUCACUCUGUGGAAAUGUCUUUUUUGACAGACCAGGGAGACGCGUGCCAUCGCUUAACGGAUUGGUUCAACAUUUAGGAAAAGCAGCGUGUGCCUGGAGUUCAUUUCCCCUCAUGUGAAACACCCGCACGCUGCUGUAAUCUGUUUUCUAAAAGCUUCUAGUGACUCGCUGACAUGUAGAAGAUCUUGCAAGAUCAAUGCAUCUGGAAAAAAAUAAUAAUAAUUGAAUUAACAACAUUAGAUUGUUGGACAAAGACAAGCUUCCUGACCCAGACAUCUAGAAGUGAGUCACACCGAGCGAGUGAGGAAAACCCAAAUGUUGAGCUGUUCCUUUAAAGACGCAGUCGGUGGCUUUCUAAUUGAGUGGUGCAGAAGAACCUCCGGCGGGCGGAGAACGUUUUCACUGGUGAUGAGCGGAGGAUGAGGAUCCGCGGGCUUCGCUCGGUGAACGUUCGCUGCGUAUCGAAUGCGCUUCCACUCACACGCGGUCGCUCAGCGCUCCCACCAAGAACAACUGGACCCGCCUGCACUCACCGCCCCCUGGACCCCCCCUCCAAACAUCCACCCUGCACUCUCAAAAGAAAAGUGCACGGAUGCUGACGUCUGCAGCCACGGAAGCACCGACUCUCUCCCUCCCUCUGCUCGCUGCCUGUGCCUCCCCCCCCCCCCUCCCCUAUCGCCCCAUCGGAGGAACUGUUAUCCGGCCUAGAAAGUAACUCAUUGUCCUUUUCCCCGUCUGUUUCCCUCCAGCUCGCGGCCGCACCAACCUGGAGCUCCGGGAGAAGUUCAUCCUCCCAGAAGGAACGUCUCAGGGUCUGGCCACCUUCCGCUCGCGGGGUCGCCGCUCCAAACCCGGCUCCCGCAACGCCUCGCCCACCCGCUCCUCCUCCUCGGCCUCCCACAGCGGGGCCUCCCUCCCCUCCGCUCCCUCCACCCCCGCCACGCCGACGGCCUCCGCGUCGUCCAGGGGGGCGCCGUCAGGGUCCAAACUAAAGAGGCCCACGUUCCACUCGAGUCGAGGCUCGCUGACUGGAGAGAACGGAGGGACGCCGCACUCCAGCAAGCCGGCACGAGCCGAUCCCAAACGAGGGGCCUCCACAGCCAGCGGGCCGGCCAGCCGGGCCGGCAGCCGAGCCGGCAGCCGAGCCAGCAGCCGGCGCGGCAGCGACGCCUCGGAGGCAUCGGAGCUCCAGGACUCCCACUCGGUCUGCUCCGACGCCUCGGACACCCCGCGCCGCCCCGGGGCCAAACCCUCCAAGAUUCCCACCAUCUCCAAAAAGGCCCCCAGCCCAAAGAACCCGGGGACCACGAAGAAGUAACUCCCGCCGCCGAGAAACUGGAGCAGACCCGUUUCAUGAAGGGGAGGGGGGGGGACUACUUUAUGACUCUUCAGUCCCAGAUCCAUCCACGGGGCUCACACAGUCUGUGCACUGCGACUGAUAUUUUCCAGCGAAGAGGAGAUGAAUAUGAUGAGUAAGUGUCUUUCUCACUGUGCUCGGUUUCCUAAACGGACUGAAAACCUGGACAAGAGGAGCACUGCCAGAGGCCGGCGGGUCGGACUGGACUCCUCCUCUUUAAGAAGCGACCCUCAUUUUGCCUUCCAGUCUCCUGCUUCGUCUUUUAGAACCAAACACAGAACCGACCGGGCGCGAUGCUGCCUUACUCACACGCUCGGGUCCGGAUCGGACCGAGCGGCCGCUUCGUACCACACUGACACACAGACACACACGGGGAGUGGAACCGCCACAGAUACAGAAACAAGAAAAGGACGUUCAAGAAUAAAGAAUCGCGAGUCAUUAUUUUUGCCUGUGGGCCGGACGCCUCAGCGAUGAGUUUAAAAAGAAAAUAUGCAACGACCGCCAUGUGGCCUCCUACGGACUGGUUGGCGAGGAAGGCGGUCAGCUCAGCAGAUCCGCAAAGCGCGCGUGGAGCAGCCGAGGAGGCGGGAAACGAUGCCCGACGCGCGCACACACACACACACACACACACACACACGGCGGCUGGCCUCUGACUCGGAGGGUCGCCGUGGUGACUGUGGUGACGGCGGUGUUGCUGCAGCCGAGGACAAACGCUCACACACUCAAACGCCGCAGAGCGGACUCCUCCCGACCGCUGGAACGCCGGCGUCAGCCUCGCGUGUGCGUGAGCGCGCAUUUCAGCAGAGGGCAGUGUGGUUUUGUCGUGGAGAAUUACAACGCGGUGACUCACCCGGCUAACGGCACGUAUGAUAUACGACAUGUGAAACCCGACGUUCGACAGCCAGCAUGCACUAAUCGUCUCUUCCUCCGCAGACCCUCCUUCAUGUCAACGCACCCAGCCGCACACACACACACACACACACACACACUCUCUCUGACACACGGCGGUGUGUGUUACGUGUGUCAUUGUUACAGGAAAUGAUCGAGGUCGUCGACUUGAGUCACUGUAUGCAAAAAAAAAAAUGAAUUUGCGAAUGUGAGUUUUGUUUUCUGGUUAAUUUAUAAUCCAGUUGUACUUUAAUUUAGCUUGAAAGAAAAAUCUAUUUAUUUUUCAGUGUCAUGUCAUAUCACCUUUCGCAAAGAGAUUUAGUAUUAUGGUUAUUGUGUUUUUUUGUACAUCACUCACUCGGUUUCUAACCCUGGUGGCGGCCUUCUGCUCAUUUUUCUUUCGUUUUGCUAAUGACUACAAUUCCCAGACCACGACCAAAGGGUUCGCCCUUCAAGUCUAGAGAGAACUAAACUUUGUGAGUGACAGGUGACCCUGGGCAGAUGGGACCAAUGAGAGCAGGUUUCCUCCCUCAUGUCCCUCCCCCACGUCCCCCCCCCUCUUCUUCUAGGCUCUUUUUCAAAUGCCGAGUUGUCUCAGUGUGAUCUCAGUCUAAGAGAUGAAGUUUAUGAAAAACAAAUGAAAUUACAGUAAGAAGACAUCUUAAGGUGAUUUUUAUUUAUUUAUUGUGUCUGAGGGGGGGGGGGGGGGCUGUUGAUGCUGCGCUACUGUGUGAUGGCGACCUCACGGAGGGAGGGGUGUUAAUGACACAACGGUGUAAAACUAAAAUUAUAAACAUGUUUUGUUCUGUUUUUGUAUUAAAAAUAUGCUUGCAAUAAAACCCUUUUGUUUCU
ensembl:lncRNA